UACGAAGGGGGCGAGCGUUGUUCGGAAUUACUGGGCGUAAAGGGCGCGCAGGCGGCCUUAGAAGUCAGAUGUGAAAGCCCCGGGCUCAACCUGGGAAUGGCAUUUGAUACUCUGAGGCUGGAGUACGGGAGAGGAGAGUGGAAUUCCCAGUGUAGAGGUGAAAUUCGUAGAUAUUGGGAAGAACACCGGUGGCGAAGGCGGCUCUCUGGACCGUAACUGACGCUGAGGCGCGAAAGCUGGGGGAGCAAACGGG
rnacentral:rRNA from 1 species